ACCUGUAAAGGACCGAAAUUAUGUAAUUUUCUGUUAAACACCGGAAGUUGUGUUUUGUUUCCGGGAGCUUGACACCUAAACACCGGAAGUUGUGUUUCGUUUCCGGGAGCUUGACACGCGCGAUUCUUUAGAAACCAGAGCGUCUUCUCACGUGAGUUCAGUUAGUUUUCACAGCUUAAUUUCAAUGUCUGUUUUCUUGUGAUCUUUAAACAUGUAAACAUUGUGCAUUUUAUUUCUGUUAGAUUGAAUUAUAUCAGCUGCAUUUACGUGCAAUUUAGUUCGGUCGGCCCCUCCCCCUCCCAGAGUAAAGCAGGUGGGAGCAACAUAGAGGGAAACCCUGCAGUUAGCACCCUUGGCAAGCGGAGCGAGUUUUCACGGUGCCAAACGAAAUAAAACUACUGCACCCGUCAGAAGCUCUCUUCUGUUCCUUUGAGACCAAGGCUGCUACAACCUAUACACUGUACAUUUGAUGAAACUUUAAAUCAAAUGUUUAAAUGUUAAUGUUUAAAUGUUUGCAGAAAUUGUAAAAAAGAAAAAAAGACCUAUGUUAUUUUAUUCAGAUCCAUGUCUUUUUAGAACACAUUUGAAACAUUUUAUUUAUAGUCUUUUGGUUAAAAAAUAAACCUGCAAGAACUCUAAAUAAAAAAUCAGUUGGCCCAACACUAAUGUGUUUUUGGAAACUUUUUUGUUACAUAAAAAAGCUAAAUAUGUUUAAUUGUAACUCAACUACUGACAUAAGUUUGACACAGUAUUAGAAAUGAGGUAUCACUCUUUUUGAGCUGCUAGAAUAACACCAAAUAAAACUCCACAGAAACUCUGAAGUGGAUUUUAGCAUUUAAAUAAUUACUGUACAUUAAAGCAGGUUAAGUUAAGUUGCAAGGCAUUAGGAAGAAACUGAGGACAACAGUGGUGUGAAACCUCGUCUAGAUAAAUCUGGGAAGAAGGGAAACACAAAGCUGAACUCCUCAGCAGUGGAAACAGGAAGUUGUGAUCCUGAACUUCCUCCUUGUGUUGAAGGAUGCAAGCAGAAGCAUUCCAGCUGGGAUCUGAAGAGCUGAGUGGGAACCAGGGUUAGUGCAGGUUAGUGACACUUCUUUAUGAAAGAACAAGGAAAAGGCAAAAAGCAUAUCAAACAAGGAGAGAACAAGCGAGAACCAAAACAAAGAAAUGCACAGAAAUUAGUCAAGAUCCUCACAGAGAGAUUUGUUCUAAAUUCAAAUUAUUUUUUAUUUCAAUAGCACCUUUAAUUUAAAAAGAAA